GGAGACUGCGAGGCUAGGAAGAGAGAGCGGGCAAAGGGGAGAGACUGGAGAAGAGGUGGAAGCCUUUACUUCGGAAGCAAAAUAUUAACAUGCUGAAAAGAAAAGGAAUACCCUUGGGUCCCUGAGUAAAGACCUAGUGUCUGCGUCCCUGGUAAUCUGGGCUAGAUAGCAAGUACCAGAGGGAAUAAUUCUGUGGAAUGGAGAAGCCAAUGGAAGCCUUAGAAAGAUUCUCAAGCUCCAGUGUAUUCCCGUAAAGGCAAACUGAGGAGGAUAACCACCAGUAAGACGCAGAUGCCAAGGGGAGAAACCCCAAAUCUGAAGAAGCCCUGUGUACAGGAAUGAUACCGUCUCCAAAACUUAGGUGAGAAGAUUAGAAAGAAGAGCUGCAGAAGACAUCUGUAGGUAGUAAAACAUGGUUAAGUCUGGUAAGCUACACCUGGGGGCUCACCCUUUUUCUUAGGGGUGGUAGGAGAAAUGUGAAUGGGCUUCCAUUUUAGAAAGUUUAUUGGAGGAAGAGGAGUUGCAGGCAUUUUAAGUCUCAAAAGCAGGAAAUCCAUUUAGGAGACUCUUGCAAGCUAAAUGAUGUCUACAUUCAUACGAAGGCAGUAGUAGCUAAGGGAAGAAAAAGGAUGAUAGAUAUUUAGGAUAUUUAGAAGAUAAAAUCAAAAGGGAAUUAGGGACUAGUAGAUGAGCCGGAUGAGGGAGAGACAGGAAAUAAAAAAUUAUUCCCAAGAUACUGAUUUAGGUAAGUGUCAGUCAUAUAGCAAUAAUGAGUAAUAACUAUAGGUGAAAAGAGGGGUAAUGAUUUAUUUUUGAACAUGUCCAUCUUAUAUAGGAAAUGUCUGUAGGACAGGUUUCUCAACCUUUGCAUGUUUUUUUUUUUUCCUUUUUUUAGGGCCGCAGCUGCGGCAUAUGGAGUUUCCCAGGCUAGGGGUCAAAUCAGAGAUGUAGCCACUGGCCUACGCCAGAGCCACAGCAACUUGGGAUCCGAGCCGAGUCUGUGACCUACACCGCAGCUCAUGGCAACACCGGAUCCUUAACCCACUGAGCAAGGCCAGGGAUCGAACCCACAACCUCACGGUUCCUAGUCAGAUUCGUUAGCCACUGAGCCAUGACGGGAACUCCAAAAGUAAAAAAUUUUUUUUAAAAUGAUAAUGCUUUAAAAAUAUUUGAUGUUUAUCAAGCAGUUUACUGUGGAUCAGGCACUAUGCUAACCACUUUGGUCAAUUAUCUAGUUUUUCCCUAACAAUUUUAUGAGGCAUAUGGUAUUAUUACUCCCAUUUAGCAAAUGAGGAGACUGAAUGAGGCAGGUGAAUUAGCUGCUCACAAACUUAUUGUCUAUGUGAAUAUAUAGCUAGUCUACAUUUUCCACUCCCCAUAUACCUAGAUGGAACUACAUAGCUAGUUCUCAUCAAUGGACUAUGAAUGAAAGUGACUUGUGUCAUCCCCAGUCCAGGGUGGUUAAAACUUUCUAUCUCUGCAUCCACCAGGUAGAUAUUAGAGAGACUUUCAAGGCAUGGAUUGAAAAUGGGGGGAUCCAGGGUCUCUAAAUGGCUCACCACAGUGCUCAGCCACCCUGCUAACCUACAUUGGACCUUGAAAAAAGCAAAAAAUAAGAUUUUAAUGUGUUAAACCACAGACACACACACACACACACAAAUUUUGCUUUGUACUCUCUUCUAAAAAAAAAACAUCACUAGUGGUAGUGUAAUACACUCCCUAAUCUGUAGAACAUACUAAAAAUUUGUACAUUCUUGUCCUACAUACAAUGUAAUCUUUUGAGGCUUUGUGAUUUGGGGACUUAGAUCAUUUGCUGCGCAAGUGUGAGAGUGUGAGGGAUAGAGAAAACAACAAAAAGCUCUUCAAUAAGGGAGUGGGAAUGAUUUUCUGACUGGUUAAGGGAAAUUAAUAAUGCUUUAUCAUUUACCUUCCUCCCAUAUAGUCACCAUUCAGAUAGAGGAGUUUCUCCACAUAGGCUCCUUUUAAAUAAAGGACACACUGCUCCUUUUCACUAUGUUUCACUUUCUCAAACAUUCUCUCCAAUAGUCUAAAUUUACACAUGUCAUAUCAUUCCACUUUUUAACCUAUGUGUCCUUUUUUUUUUCUUUUCUUUUCAUACCUGUGCCUGCGGUAUAUGGACGUUCCCAGGCCAGGGGUUGAAUCAGACCGUCACUGCAGGCCUACACCACAGCCAUGAUAACUCCAGAUCUGAGCCAUAUCUGCAGCCUAUGCAGCAGCUUGAGGCAACACUGGAUCCUUAACCCACUGAGCGAGGCCAGGAAUCAAACCUGUACCCUCACAAGGACAGCAUCAUGUUCUUAACCCAUUGAGCCACGGUGGGAACUCCCCUAUGUGUCCUAUAAUCCCAGGGCCUGAAUUCAGACUCUUUCCUAAGAAAAACCUCUCUAGAUUGUAAACUCCAUGAGGGCAUGGUCUUGUGUGUGUUUGCCUGAUAUAAUUUACCUAGUCCCUGGCAUGGUGUCUUCUACAUAAUAGGUGCUUGACAAAUAUUUGUUAAAUCAACAAAUCAUGUAUAGAUAAAUGGGAGAUACCAUGACCCUCAGAUCAAUAACAAAUAAUGGAUUUCAAUAUUGAAUGCAAUAUAAUAAGAUUGAUACAUGGAAAUGGAUUUAUGGCAAGUUAUAAGAAAACCCCUUAAAAUCUCUCUUGAUCUGCAGAACAAACAAUAACAACUUCAUUUAUGCUGUUAUGGAAAGCCACAGAAUAAAAAAAAAAAAGCGAAA
ensembl:lncRNA